rnacentral:rRNA from 1 species
GCGCGCCCUUCGGGGUGAGCGGCGGACGGGUUAGUAACGCGUGGGAACGUGCCCAGAUCUAAGGAAUAGCCACUGGAAACGGUGAGUAAUACCUUAUACGCCCUUCGGGGGAAAGAUUUAUCGGAUUUGGAUCGGCCCGCGUUAGAUUAGAUAGUUGGUGGGGUAACGGCCUACCAAGUCUACGAUCUAUAGCUGGUUUUAGAGGAUGAUCAGCAACACUGGGACCGAGACACGGCCCAGACUCCUACGGGAGGCAGCAGUGGGGAAUCUUGGACAAUGGGCGCAAGCCUGAUCCAGCCAUGCCGCGUGAGUGAUGAAGGCCCUAGGGUCGUAAAGCUCUUUCGCCAGGGAUGAUAAUGACAGUACCUGGUAAAGAAACCCCGGCUAACUCCGUGCCAGCAGCCGCGGUAAUACGGAGGGGGUUAGCGUUGUUCGGAAUUACUGGGCGUAAAGCGCGCGUAGGCGGAUUAGUAAGUCAGAGGUGAAAUCCCGGGGCUCAACCCCGGAACUGCCUUUGAUACUGCUAGUCUUGAGUUCGAGAGAGGUGAGUGGAAUUCCGAGUGUAGAGGUGAAAUUCGUAGAUAUUCGGAGGAACACCAGUGGCGAAGGCGGCUCACUGGCUCGAUACUGACGCUGAGGCGCGAAAGCGUGGGGAGCAAACAGGAUUAGAU